GAUGAAGAACGUAGCGAAAUGCGAUAAGUAAUGCGAAUUGUAGAAUUCAGUGAAUCAUCGAAUCUUUGAACGCACAUUGCGCCCGCCAGUAUUCUGGCGGGCAUGCCUGUCUGAGCGUCGUUUCGACCCUCGCGCCCGGCUUCUGUCGGGGGCGGUGUUGGGGAUCGGCCACACCCUUCAGUGGGAGGCCGGCCCCUAAAUUCAGUGGCGACCACGCUGUAGCCUCCCCUGCGUAGUACUAAAACCACCUCGCAGGCGGAGAGCGGUGCGGCCCGCCGUAAAACCCCCCAACUUUUACAAGGUCGACCUCAGAUCAGGUAGGAAUACCCGCUGAACUUAAGCAUAUCAAUAAGCGGAGGA
rnacentral:misc_RNA from 1 species